rfam:Stegodyphus mimosarum contig35689, whole genome shotgun sequence.
GCCUUCGUGGUGUAGUGGUCAGCACACUCGACGCGUAACCGAGAGGUCCGUCGUGGUUCGAUUCCCGGCGAAGGCG